rfam:Gossypium raimondii Chr03_contig_1059, whole genome shotgun sequence.
UAUUAAAAAUUUCAUCCAUUUGUAUUGUUAAAACUUGGUGCGACUGACAGAAUAAUCGGAUAGUGACAUGUGGUUUGCCACAUGUAUCUCAUGCUGAUGUACAUAGACUAAUUUUAAUAGUAAAAAAUGAAUGAAACUUGUAACG